CUUUCUCCUAUAUUUUCUGUCUAUUCCCUCCCCUUAAAAAUAAUCUAUUAGUCUUCUAGUAUUUUGGCAUUUGCAUCUGCAGCCUGCUGCUCAGCCUGUUCCAUAUUCACAUUCCUUUGAUAUAUACAUGGGAAAUAAUGACCCAGAGCUGAAAUACUAGCUAAACCUGCUUUCUGAUAUAAUCCCCGUGGUAUUUAAUUUUACUUUCUUAGGCAUCUAAAAUGAUGGCUCCUGUGAUUGCUAUCUAAACGUGUAGCAGUGUGUCUUCGAGGAGCUGAACACUGUGCUCAAGCUGGGAGCGUGAAACCCGGCUGAAGGGAGCCCUCCAGCCCUCCAGAGCUGUGUGCUGCUCACCCGGCGCAGGGGGGAGAACCCCAGCCUUAAAAUGCUGCUCGGAGAGAUGCUGUGGAUGCAGAGAUCCACACUGCGAGGACCUGCUGCCUGCCGAAGCCAUCCAGCUGUGGGUGUGUGACCGCCCAGCGUGUGCCGUGGGGCAUACCGGGGAGAAAGGAAAGUUUGGAAAGCACGUGUGUGUGAUUUGGGAGGAGAAGAGAUCUUGAAUCAUCCAGGAGCCAAACUAGCUCCGCUGUAACGGAGCAGAACAGACGAACAGCACCUCUCUGUUGACAGCCUGACGCUGCUAAAAGCCUCUGGUAACGAGCACUCGUCCUGAUGAGCCCUCCGUGCGAGGAAAAAUGCGUCAAAUGCAAAUCCCGGGCUGCCGGGCUCAUAUUUUGAACACAACCCUUGAUAGAGGCUGCAAGGGGAGGCCAGCGGUUAGGAAACUUCCCCAGGAUUUGAGACACCUCGAUCGGAGCAAAUUAAAGCACAGCUUUCUCCGCGAUUUAACUCAGGUACUUCCGUGAAGUAGAACUAAAAGCACUUCUGCGUCUCAGGAAGGUGUUUUGAGCAUUAAAGACACCCCAGACCGGAGUUUAGGAGGUGUUUAGAUGCCUGAAGAUUCAGUUAAGCAAUUUGGAAAAUCACCCAGGGUUCCCAGGUGCCCAACUUGUUGGCUUCGCCGAGCGUUUCAUAAGCUGCUCAGCCAGCAUCGAUGGC
rnacentral:lncRNA from 1 species